CUGGAGGUAUCAGAAGUGCGAAUGCUGACAUAAGUAACGAUAAAGCGGGUGAAAAGCCCGCUCGCCGGAAGACCAAGGGUUCCUGUCCAACGUUAAUCGGGGCAGGGUGAGUCGACCCCUAAGGCGAGGCCGAAAGGCGUAGUCGAUGGGAAACAGGUUAAUAUUCCUGUACUUGGUGUUACUGCGAAGGGGGGACGGAGAAGGCUAUGUUGGCCGGGCGACGGUUGUCCCGGUUUAAGCGUGUAGGCUGGUUUUCCAGGCAAAUCCGGAAAAUCAAGGCUGAGGCGUGAUGACGAGGCACUACGGUGCUGAAGCAACAAAUGCCCUGCUUCCAGGAAAAGCCUCUAAGCAUCAGGUAACAUCAAAUCGUACCCCAAACCGACACAGGUGGUCAGGUAGAGAAUACCAAGGCGCUUGAGAGAACUCGGGUGAAGGAACUAGGCAAAAUGGUGCCGUAACUUCGGGAGAAGGCACGCUGAUAUGUAGGUGAAGUCCCUCGCGGAUGGAGCUGAAAUCAGUCGAAGAUACCAGCUGGCUGCAACUGUUUAUUAAAAACACAGCACUGUGCAAACACGAAAGUGGACGUAUACGGUGUGACGCCUGCCCGGUGCCGGAAGGUUAAUUGAUGGGGUCAGCGCAAGCGAAGCUCUUGAUCGAAGCCCCGGUAAACGGCGGCCGUAACUAUAACGGUCCUAAGGUAGCGAAAUUCCUUGUCGGGUAAGUUCCGACCUGCACGAAUGGCGUAAUGAUGGCCAGGCUGUCUCCACCCGAGACUCAGUGAAAUUGAACUCGCUGUGAAGAUGCAGUGUACCCGCGGCAAGACGGAAAGACCCCGUGAACCUUUACUAUAGCUUGACACUGAACAUUGAGCCUUGAUGUGUAGGAUAGGUGGGAGGCUUUGAAGUGUGGACGCCAGUCUGCAUGGAGCCGGCCUUGAAAUACCACCCUUUAAUGUUUGAUGUUCUAACGUUGACCCGUGAUCCGGGUUGCGGACAGUGUCUGGUGGGUAGUUUGACUGGGGCGGUCUCCUCCUAAAGAGUAACGGAGGAGCACGAAGGUUGGCUAAUCCUGGUCGGACAUCAGGAGGUUAGUGCAAUGGCAUAAGCCAGCUUGACUGCGAGCGUGACGGCGCGAGCAGGUGCGAAAGCAGGUCAUAGUGAUCCGGUGGUUCUGAAUGGAAGGGCCAUCGCUCAACGGAUAAAAGGUACUCCGGGGAUAACAGGCUGAUACCGCCCAAGAGUUCAUAUCGACGGCGGUGUUUGGCACCUCGAUGUCGGCUCAUCACAUCCUGGGGCUGAAGUAGGUCCCAAGGGUAUGGCUGUUCGCCAUUUAAAGUGGUACGCGAGCUGGGUUUAGAACGUCGUGAGACAGUUCGGUCCCUAUCU
rnacentral:rRNA from 1 species